rnacentral:rRNA from 1 species
GAUGAACGCUGGCGGCGUGCUUAACACAUGCAAGUCGAACGAAGCAUUUAAGACAGAUUCCUUCGGUUUGAAGUCUUUUAUGACUGAGUGGCGGACGGGUGAGUAACGCGUGGGUAACCUGCCUCAUACAGGGGGAUAGCAGCUGGAAACGGCUGGUAAUACCGCAUAAGCGCACAGUACCACAUGGUACAGUGUGAAAAACUCCGGUGGUAUGAGAUGGACCCGCGUCUGAUUAGCUUGUUGGCGGGGUAACGGCCCACCAAGGCGACGAUCAGUAGCCGACCUGAGAGGGUGACCGGCCACAUUGGGACUGAGACACGGCCCAGACUCCUACGGGAGGCAGCAGUGGGGAAUAUUGCACAAUGGAGGAAACUCUGAUGCAGCGACGCCGCGUGAGUGAAGAAGUAGUUCGCUAUGUAAAGCUCUAUCAGCAGGGAAGAUAGUGACGGUACCUGACUAAGAAGCUCCGGCUAAAUACGUGC